rnacentral:rRNA from 1 species
CACGUAGGGGGCAAGCGUUGUCCGGAUUUAUUGGGCGUAAAGAGCUCGUAGGUGGUUCGGUAAGUCGGGUGUUAAACCCCCAGGCUCAACCUGGGACGGCCACUCGAUACUGCUGUGACUAGAGUCCGGUAGGGGAGCGUGGAAUUCCUGGUGUAGCGGUGAAAUGCGUAGAUAUCGGGAGGAACACCAGUGGCGAAGGCGACUUCCUGGCCUGUUCUGACGCUGAGGCGCGAAAGCUAAGGGGAGCAAACGGGG